ACACGUAGGGGGCAAGCGUUGUCCGGAAUUACUGGGCGUAAAGGGUGCGUAGGCGGCCAAAUAAGUCAGAUGUGAAAGUCCAGGGCUUAACCGUGGAAUCGCAUUUGAAACUGUAUGGCUUGAGUGCAGGAGAGGAGAGCGGCAUUCCUAGUGUAGUGGUGAAAUGCGUAGAUAUUAGGAAGAACACCAGUGGCGAAGGCGGCUCUCUGGACUGUAACUGACGCUGAGGCACGAAAGCGUGGGGAGCGAACAGGAUUAGAGACACUGGUAGUCCACGACGGAAACGAUGAGUGCUAGGUGUCGGGAGUCAAAUCUCGGUGCCGGAGUAAACACAAUAAGCACUCCGCCUGGGGAGUACGGUCGCAAGACUUAA
rnacentral:rRNA from 1 species